rnacentral:lncRNA from 1 species
UGGAUACAACACCACAUUCUUAUGCCUGAGACCUACACAAAGAUUCAUAUUUAUCUGUUUUAAGAGCAUUUGCGAGGAGAGGAACAGGUAUUCACAUGCGAGUGCGUAAGACCAACAAUUAUUCUGUUGUCACUACUUGUUUGACAAAGUGAAAGUCCAAGGUUUUCUGAAAAGCAGAAAAUACUUUAGAUAGUACUAGGUAAUUACCCGCGCUACGCAGCUGGAUUUUUUUUAUUUUUUAUUUUAUUGGUUAUAAAAUAUUUUCAUUUUAUAAAUGAAUAAUUAUAUUAAUAUAAAUUUUGUAUCUAAAUAUUUAAAAUCUAGACAUACAUUGUAUUAUUUAUAUUUUGAUUAUUGUAUAAUAAUUAUUUAUUUGAUAUUAAUCUUUAAUAUAUUAGCUUCCAAGUUAAUUUUUUCGCACCUUUUCUCUCGAGUUGGUGGUGUAAAAUCUCAUUGUUUUUUAAUUUUGUUUUUUGGAUUUUAGGUUCCAGUUUGUGGUCUAAAAGACUCUAAUACUAUCCUCUUUCCAUUCCAUAAAAAUAUUUCAUAUUUUAAAAUUUGUUUCAAUAUAAAUAUCAGUUUUACAUUUUUGAUAUAUAAAAAAUCAGUUUAAUCCUUAUUUUUACCUUAUGUAUCGAUCAAAUAAAAAAUAAUGUGGAA